rnacentral:lncRNA from 1 species
UUUCUUUCAACGUCAAUUUGAAAUGAAGGAUCUCGGGCUCCGCCAUUAUUUUCUAGGUAUUGAAGUAGCCUACGAUUCUAAAGGCUAUCUACUAUCUCAACGGAAGUACACAGUGUAUCUCAUCUCUUGUGCUGGUCUUACUGACAAUAACACAGUAAAUACUCCAAUGCAUGUCACGCCCCGCCCCGAAUCCACUACCAAUUUGGCACGGUUCGGGCACGCCGGACGGACCGCCGAACGGACAGCACCUCUCCUGUCCGCCCAAGGCCAAGCAACCAGAUCACGUACAAGAAUUUGCCCAGGAGAAUAAAUUCAAUAUAUACAUGAUCGACUAAGGCACACAAGUGCCAAGUAACUAAGAGCAAGAACCACAAGUGGAUGUACAAGUGUAUAAAGAGAGACAGUCUAACUAUUACAACCAUUCAACAUUUACAUCAUUGAAUAUAUUACAUUUCCACCUUCCAAAAUCUAAAUACAUGUUUUCCUCAAAAUAUAUAGGUAGCUCUCCAAUAUCUAUCCAAAAUAUCAUCUAGUACACGAGGGUACUCUAAUAAAUAAAAGGAAAAGCUACUAACUAAGCUCACUUAGGGUGCUAAGCCCUUGCCGCGGUCCCCGCUCGACUCGCCUCUGUGUGUACCUGUACCCCAAAACCACACGGGGUGAGAACUAUAUAAAUAUAGUUCCCAGUGGGUUCGGCCGCCAACGCUGCUGGUUUUCCCACUAGGUCUAAGCUGGCACAGAUAGAGAGAUAGAUAGAUAUACGUAGAAAAUGAACUGCAACUACUCUAUCAUGCCAUCAAUGAUAAUAAUGGAUGCAACAACUACUAUCAUGCUAGUAUCAUGUCAUGAGUAUAUAAAGGUGCAUAGUAAUGUAAACUACAACAUACACUAUGUCUACUCAAGGCAAUAAUGCAAGUCUACUAUACAUUUCAUGUUUAUUACCCAAUUUACUUGGUUAACCCGUAGGUUAAACCCUCGACUCACUCUCAAUCUCAUAGGUGAGGAGAAACUGCACUCGCACACCGAGACCGUCUGCGGGACAACUACGUCUGCCCCUAGUGAAGUACUCCGGAGACUCGUGCCUCGGUGGAGCGACCACCGACAAGCAAAAACAGACUAGUUAGUAUGAUCCAAUCCUCACAAAAGGAUACCCUGUCUACUAGGGUCAAUGUGCCUCUGCUGCACAAUCAUGAUAUAUAAUCCAUGUCGGGACUUCUACUAUCCCUAAGUUCAUGUCAAGUUUACUACACUAGACUCGAUGCCACUCAUUCGAUCAUUGUAGUAAGUUUUCUACUAGUUGACAUGCCACUCGUUCAAAUUUAGUGUUUCUACUACACUAGUUCAAUGCCACUCUACUAGACUAUGUCCAAGUUCGGCUCUCUAUGCCGCUAUAGGAUUCUAUGUCACAAGACCCAAUCCUCAUGCUAUCCUAGUCCACGUAUCAAGCUCACCCCGCUACACUACUAAGUAAGCAUGCAAGGAAAUGGAAAUGUACAAUUACUAUAUCCUAUAGCACAAUAUGAUCAAUAUAAAUACUUAGACAUAAAAAGAAACCCGGAUGUUUCGAGACGACACCCUCCACCUCUUGGUGAUGUCUUGAAGCUACGAUUCCGUUUCCAAGAUUUUUGGAAGCUUUCGCCGCGUGCUGUGGCAAUCUGUACCCUAGCGGCUUAGAUCUUCGAUAUCUCCGCGUACACUCGUCGGAUUGCCGAACCGAGCGCACCGUUGUGUCGAAAUACCUACCAAUUAGGUUAGAUGAUGGUCAAAUGAGAUCAAUCCUUUACUUUUCCAAAAACCCUCUUUUGGUGCCCUAGGGUUAGCAUCAAGCUAAACCCAUCUCAAAACCCUAGAUUCUAGCUCCAAUCCUACCAUUCAUUGUGCUAGGAAUCCAUUUGAUCCCAUCCAAAGAGCUAAAACCCAAAAACCCUAAAUUCAUAAGCUAGGGUUGGAAGCUUACAUCUAGGUUAGCUUAAAAGAGAGAGAAGAGGAUGAGGGCGAAGUCCAAAAGCUUGCUUUUGUUGGUCUCCUUCUUCUUCUCCUUCCCUUUCUUCCUUCUUUUCCUUCUCUUUUCCUUUUCUUCUUCUUCUUCUUCUUUCCCUUCUAUAGAGAGAGAGAGAGCAAGAGAGUGUGAGGGGGAGAGAGAGUAGAAUGAGAGAGUGAGAGGGAGAGAGGGGCUAAUAAGCCCUCUAAUGUAACAAUAUCCCAGCAGCCCCCUCCACUUUUCAUCCUAUGCACUGCCCCUCACUGGGCAUUCUGCGCCCAGAGGGACCGGUCUCCCCGACUUGGGACCGGUCCCCGAGAGCUUCAGCUCGGGUCACGCGUUCGGGUACCGGUCUCUCCCAGAGAGACCGAUCCUCGGGAGACCGGUUCCUUCCUGAGAGACCGGUUCCCGAGAACUGGGAUUUCAGGACUUAGCCAUAUUUUGGCUUUUCUCGCUGGUCUCGCGUUCGGGGACCGGUCCCUCACUGCCAGGGACCGGUUGCCUCAAGCAACCCCGCAACUCCCACUGAUGGGACCGGUCCCUCCCUGCCAAGGACCGGUCCCCGAGAGCAGUUUUGCUCUAGUGCAGGUUUUGCACUAUUUGCUCUCGUGGACUCGUUUCCAAUGCACUUUUGGUGAUUAUGAUAUCUUUGGCUUUUCCAAAGCUCACCAAUACGACCCUUGGUCGAUUCUGGAUGAAGUCUAAUCCUCGUAUUUCGAGAAUUCACUUCCUCACAUCCUCCCCUCCUAAAAAGGAGUUUCGUCCUCGAAACGAAUUUACUAUUUUAAUCAACUCCUACCUCAUUGCAUUUCUGUAAAGAGAUGAGGAUAGUGCGCUUUCAUCGUUUCCUCGAGUUCCCACGUGGCCUCACGAUCGUCGUGACCGGUCCAACGAAUCUUCACAUAGGAAAUUUCAUGAUUUCUCAAUUUCCGCACUUCUCGAGCAAUGAUCAUCGCCGGGAACUCUUCAUAGCUUAAAUCCUCUUGUAGAUCCGGCGGUUCAUAGUACAUCACGUGCUCGGGAUCGUGGAUAUACUUGCGAAGGUUAGAAACGUUGAAUACAUCAUGCACACCCGCGAGCUUCGGCGGUAAUGCAAGUCGGUAUGCUACCGCUCCAACACGUUCCAACGCCUCGAAAGGUCCGAUAUAUCGGGGACUUAGCUUUCCCCGCACUCCGAAGCGCUUCACACCUCUCAUAGGUGAAACCUUCAAGAAAACGCGGUCACCCACCGCGAAUUCCAAAUCUCUACGGCGUUUGUCAGAAUAGCUCUUUUGCCUCGACUGUGCCGUAAGUAGUCUCUCGCGAGCGAGAUAGACCUUCUCUUCUGCCUCCCGCAAUACGUCUGGGCCCAAUGCCGCAUGCUCACCCACAUCGCUCCAACAUAUAGGAGAUCCGCACUUCCGUCCAUAUAGGACCUCGAACGGUGCCAUCCCAAUGCUAGCUUGAUAACUGUUAUUGUAGGCGAACUUGGCAAUCCUCAAAUGGUUUGCCCAACUACUCUUGUAGUCAAUGACACACGCCCGCAACAUAUCCUCCAGAAUCUGUAUAGUCCUUUCUGACUGUCCGUCUGUCUGAGGAUGAAACGCGGUGCUGAAAUCGAGCCGUGUGCCAAGUGCUUCCUGCAGGCUUUUCCAAAAGUGCGAAGUAAAACGGGGGUCUCGAUCUGACACGAUCGACUUCGGAAUCCCGUGCAACCUCACAACUUCAUCCAAGUAUACCUGCGCCAACUUGUCGCCCGACCAGGUGGUGUGAAUCGGUAGAAAGUGUGCCGACUUGGUCAUACGAUCCACAAUCACCCAGAUCGCGUCGUGGCCACCCGUCAAACGGGGCAAUCCGACCACGAAGUCCAUCGCUAUAUUCUCCCAUUUCCAAACGGGAAUAGGUAAACUUUGGAGCUUUCCCGCUGAAAAUCGGCGCUCAGCCUUCACUUGCUGGCAUAUUAAACAUUGCGCUACAUAGCGCCCAAUAUCCGCUUUCAUGCCCGGCCACCAGUACUGCAUCUUCAGAUCACGGUACAUCUUGGUGCCGCCCGGGUGAAUGCUAUAAGGAGUCCGAUGUGCUUCUUGUAAGAUCAACUUCCGGGCCUCCUCGUUUUUCGGUACGCACCAUCGGUUCCGAAAUCGAAGCGCACCCUCGGCGUCUAUAUUGAAAUCACCGCCGUGUCCACUUUCGAUGUCUCGCCGCACUUUUUGGAGGUUAGGGUCUGCAGGUUGCAAACUCUUGAUCUGCUCCAACAAGGUCGGUUGGACAACGAGAGCCGUAAGCAUAGACGGAAUUUCCGGAGCUACCACCUCUAGAUCCAAUCAUUCCAUCUCUCUCCAUAGUGGUUCUUGACGUGUGACUAACAUAGCAAGAUUCUCCACUGACUUCCUGCUAAGCGCUUCGGCCACCACGUUUGCUUUUCCGGGGUGGUAUAGGAUUGUAACAUCGAAAUCCUUUAGCAACUCAAACCACCGCCGCUGCCGCAUAUUAAGCUCUUUCUGUGUGAAAAGGUACUUCAGACUUUUGUGGUCCGUGUAUAUCUCGCAACGCGCGCCAUACAGGUAGUGCCUCCAUAGCUUGAGGGCAAACACUACGGCGGCCAACUCUAAGUCAUGGACAGGGUAGUUCUUCUCAUAGCUUUUCAAUUGACGGGACGCAUAAGCGAUCACCUUCCCGCCUUGCAUCAGAACACACCCUAAGCCCGAUUGUGACGCGUUGCUAUACACCACAAAGUCUUCAUCUUGCACCGGUAAGGCGAGCACCGGAGUCGAAGUUAAUCUAUCCUUCAACUCUUGAAAACUCCGGUUGCACUCGUCAUUCCAAAUGAACUUGGUGCCUUUUCGAGUCAGAUGGGUAAGUGGACCCACGAUCUUCGAGAAUCCCUCCACGAACCGUCUAUAAUAACCCGCUAAACCUACAAAGCUUCGAACUUCCGUGACGUUAGUCGGGCGAGGCCAAUCCUUGAUCGCCUCCACUUUCCUCGGGUCAACAGAUACUCCUCCCUCGGAAAUGACAUGCCCAAGAAAUGCAACCUCUCGGAGCCAAAAGUUGCAUUUCUUAAACUUAGCAUAUAGCUUCUCCUCCCGGAGGACUUAAAGCACUAUUCUCAAAUGCUCGGCAUGUUCCUCGUCGCUACGCGAGUAGACUAAGAUGUCGUCUAUGAAGACCACGACAAAUCGGUCCAAGUACUCCUUGAAGACACGGUUCAUUAGAUCCAUGAACGCUGCCGGGACGUUAGUGAGCCCAAACGGCAUGACCGUGAAUUCAUAGUGUCCGUACCGCGUGCGAAAUGCGGUCUUUUGCACAUCUUCCGGUUUGAUCUUAAGUUGGUGAUAACCGGACUGCAGAUCGAUCUUUGAAUAAACCCGAGACCCUUGCAACUGAUCAAACAGAUCGUCAAUUCUCGGCAACGGGUACUUAUUCUUGAUCGUGACCUUUUUCAACUCGCGAUAGUCGACGUAGAGUUGAAACGAUCCAUCCUUCUUUCGCACAAAUAGAACCGGGGCUCCCCACGGCGAUACACUUGGCCGUAUAAAUCCUUUAUCAAGGAGAUCCAAUAAUUGAGCCCGCAAUUCCUUCAAUUCCGCCGGCGCCAUCCGAUACGGAGCCUUCGACACAGGCGCGGUUCCUGGAACCAAGUCUAUCACGAACUCGAUCUUCCGGUCUGGCGGCAUUCCCGGCAACUCCGCGGAAAAUACAUCAGAAAAUUCCUGAACCACGGAUAGUUCCUCAAGUGCCGCAGUCGCCCUCUCGACUUCCACAACAGUCGCCAAGUAGGCCGUACAACCGCCGUUAAUCAACUUCCUCGCCCUCGUCGCCGAUACCAUAGCGGCGAAGUGCGAGCUUCUAUAGGCCCGGUAGACAAAUUCCUCUUGUCCCGGUUCACGAAACGUAAUCACUUUACUUCUACAGUGAAUAGUUGCAUAGUACUUCGAAAGCCAAUCCAUUCCUAGAAUGACGUCGAAGUCUUUCAACUUCUUGAAUACCAACAUACGGAUGGGCAUUAUCCAAUCGCCCAACCGCACGGGACAAGACGAACACUCCAUACGUACUAGAAAAUCACGUCCGGGGCCCGAUACUCUCCAAGUGCUUUUACUCUCUUGUAGUUCUAUGUCAUGCAUGCGUGCAAAUGACCUACUGAUGAAUGAAUGCAUAGCACCUGUAUCAAACAUAGCCCUAGAGCGAACUCCGUUAAUUAAAACCAUACCUGCGAGUACAUGGCGAUCCUCCGCCUCAGCAGGUUCCUCGGCUUGAGUUUGAGCGGCAAACACCCGCCCACUCAGAGCCGAUCUCGUCGCCUCAGGUUGGCGUGGCACCAUCGCACGUCCGGCCGAUGACGCAGCAGGUGGGACUCCUCCAUAAUGCGCUGGGGUCGCCGGAGCCGACGCGACCAAAGGGGCAGGCGAAGCCCUCAUUCGACAGUGGCGGCUGAUAUGGCCCGCCUGUCCACACGUGAAGCACUUUCCCUCCCGUUGAUCACACAUCCUCGGCUCGUGGUUCCCACCGCAGAUUAUGCACCGCUGCGGUCCGCGGCCCUUGGAUUGCGUUCGCGGGUACUUCGGGGGCUUCCUUGGCCUCGAUUGAGCUCCCGAGCUACUCUGAGCCCGCUUCUUGCCACCGUCCUUCUCGGACGCUUCUCGCUCCUCCCGGAUGUGAGCGUUUCCUUGCUCCGACCACAACGCUCGAUCGAGCACCUCCGCGAAGGUAGUGAGCUUCAGAAUGUGCAACGCCCGGUAGAUAUCGGCCCGGAGCCCUCGCUCGAACCAAUCGGCUCGAUCCCUGUCAUCCCGCACUACGUCGGGGACGCAGUCAAUGAUGUGAGAGAACUCCUGCUCAUAUUCCGCCACCGUGCGGCCACCUUGCUUCAACUUUCGAAAUUGCUCUUGCUUCUUCUUCUCGCUAUCGGGGAAGUAGUUGACAUAGAACAAUCCCCGAAAUUCCUCCCACGUCAUCGGCGGAAGGUCGGAAGCCCGGUUCCUCUUGAUUCGCUUCCACCAAACCUUCGCCGUUUGCUCCAAACAAUGAGUGGCGAGGUAGACCUUGUCCCUCUCUGAGGUGUAGAGGUCCUCGAACAAGGUCUCCGUCGAGUCCACCCAUGACUCGACCAUCCAUGGCUCGACCUUCUCUCCCUCGAAGGUCGGUGGAUUAAACCUUCGAAACUUCUCGAGAGCCGCAAGUGCGCGGUCCCUCUCCGCCUCCAAUGCCGUCGUAUCGGGUGCCGUAGAACCCGACGCCGCCAGAGGAACGCUCGCCGGCGGGGGACGUGCCGCCACCGGAACUGCCGCAAUGCCCUCGCCCUCAGCCGCCGUAGGCGCACGAGCUGGAGGCGGGGGCGGAUCACGGCCCUCAGUCGCAGCUGCAGUUGCCGCUGCAAAAUGCCGCUCCAUAAGCCCUUGGAGCUGCUCAAACCGACUCUCCUGGCGCUGUACAAUGCCUGUUAAUGCCGACACUUGCGCCCGUAACUCCCUCACUUCACUAGAUCCGGCUUCCUCGGGCACCUCAGGAGAUGGUGCCGGAACGGACCUACGCACGUAGCGUCUUGGGGACAUUGUUCCUGCAACGCAACAACCGGGUUAGUCAUCUAACCCACUUAUCUCCGUCGCAUACACUAUAUUACGCGACACAACUCCGCCAUAAGCGGACGUACACAUGUAUUAGUCCUAACUCUUAGCGUCGUGUUGUCGGCCGCCAACACAACUCCGCGACCUUGGAACUAACACCGCUCGGAUCCAUCUCUAGCCACACUAGAGGUCUACACUCGAUCCGACCUAAUCGGAUUCUUCCUCAACCGAUAUAGGUUUACGUUCCUCUCACGUACCUAUACAACCCUAGGGUUCACCGUCCUAAGGUCUCUUAGGUCCAUCCUAGACCCUCUCUUUACUUGCUCUUAAUUGCUCUGAUACCAACUUUCUUUUGUCAUGCCCCGCCCCGAAUCCACUACCAAUUUGGCACGGUUCGGGCGCGCCGGACGGACCGCCGAACGGACAGCACCUCUCCUGUCCGCCCAAGGCCAAGCAACCAGAUGAUGUACAAGAAUUUGCCCAGGAGAAUAAAUUCAAUACAUACAUGAUCGACUAAGGCACACAAGU